UACGGAGGCUCCAAGCGUUAUCCGGAUUCAUUGGGUUUAAAGGGUGCGUAGGCGGAAUGAUAAGUCAGUGGUGAAAUCUCUUCGCUUAACGAAGAAACUGCCAUUGAUACUGUCAAUCUUGAGUACAUUUGAUGUGGGCGGAAUGUGUCAUGUAGCGGUGAAAUGCUUAGAUAUGACACAGAACACCGAUUGCGAAGGCAGCUCACAAAACUGUAACUGACGCUGAGGCACGAAAGCGUGGGUAUCAAACAGG
rnacentral:rRNA from 1 species